ACGUACAGCUGCAUGUCAUCGCACUAAUUGCAGCUCUCUGUCUUCAUUCACUCUCCAGCUUUGAGCUACAGACGAGUGGCCAACCCUGCCAACAUACAUCAAAAUAUUCUACAUUUCAUGCCUUUGAGAAUGGACUUAAUUCAGACUGAGAUCUUUUCAACAGUUUUGGACAGUAGUGGGGCUACAGGUGGUGUCGUUACUAUUUAAACUGCAUUUCUGAGUAACAUGGUGUUUGGAUCUCUUGCAAACAGCAGUUGCAGAAGUGGAAACUAACAGGCAAUCAGCUGGCCAAUAAAGAUACUUUCAGCUCUGGUACAAAUGUGCAGAUUGGAUCAAAUGGAAAUAAAAUCAUAUUUUAUCUAAUUGAGAAACACAGCAAAGCCAGGAGUGGGAAUGUGAACAUGGCAUCACAUCGAGGUUUUAUCUAAAAUGAGUAUUUACUGUUGCAGUUUACAUAAUAAAUAAAAAGUUAAGAAGAAAAGAGUUGGGACUGUACAGAUGUAUUCCUUCAACAAAAUACCAUGGCAACAAGCUAAAAAUACAAAAAAGAACAGUUUUCCAGUGAUGAUCAUCUUGGGAAAACACACACAAAAAAAGAUGUUUUCACUGUCUGAAAAUGAAGUAAUGGGGUGUUUAGUGCCAUCUAUUUGGUUUCGUGUCUGCCAAUUUACCACAAGUAUCUCCUGAAUAUGAAUACACUGCAACAAUUGAAUGCAAAACAAAGGCUGUUUUCCCCCCAUGAGACUUGUUGUGGUGCUGACGUAUGAGCUGUAAUGCAGACUCUUGCUUGUUCCAGUUGCAGAGGUUGGGUCAACAUCGUUUCUCAGGAAAAUCUAAAUCUUUAUUAGGGAACACAAGCAGUUUUUUGUUUUUACUAUAAAAUCCUGAAAAGCCAAAUCAUGGUCACGCUGUCCUCAUCUUUCGUCUUUCUGAUCAUCAGGCACGGGGGAAAAAAAACACAUUUUGUUCCUGUGAAAUAGAUCUCAUUCAUAUUGUAAUGUUUCUUCAAGGGAAUUCAGACCAGAAGCUCUUGCAUUGGCUGUGUAUAAUUUGUGCAAUGAUAAAACGGUGCCGACAUCAAAGUGGUGCGUGCAAACAUCCUCCGUGUUGAUUGAGGUGGAGGGCAUUGGCGAGGACUAAAUCAGAAUGAAAGAAUGAACAGAAAGAAUGACAAUACGUAACAUGCUGUUCCUUACCAAUGACACCCAGUUCUGCCAGCCACCCCAACCGCAUCCACCCUCCCGUCUCAGUCAUCCCCUCAGGCAGGCUCACUCAGGCAUAAAGUUGCAGUA